rnacentral:tRNA from 1 species
UCCCUGAUGGUCCAGUGGUUAAAGACUCCUUGAUCCCAGUGCAGGGAGUCGGGGUUUGAUUCCCAGUCAGGGAA